CAUCCGGGAGGGGAGGACGCAGGGCCCAGGCUGGCUGUGGGAGUUCUGCCCUCACAACACAGCUUCCAGCCAGAUGCCCAGCUCUCCCCUGCGGGUCCUAGACCUCACACCGUCAAAGCCAGUCGCCUGUGGCUACAGAAUCAGAGCUCUGGCCCCUGGGAGUGGAGAUUUCCCUGCAUUCGUGCCAUAGCCGACAACACCUCUUCCUCCCAAGCCCUCCACACGGAAGGACAAUCAAGAGAUCACUCCACGCUCUCGCUUCCCAGCUGCCUCAAGCUCCCCGGCGAGGGGACACGUACAUUUCAAGCUUAGCCGGACCCUGGACGUCAUCUAGGUUCCCGGCCACCGGCUGAGGAAAUGGACGCUCAGAACGAAACAGGAAAAGGAAGAGCCAUCCUCUGACUAUGCGAAUAAACUCCGGUGCCGUUUUGAAAACAAGAGGCAGACAUGGACCCGGACAGAAAACUUCAACAGAGAGAAUCAGGUUGCAAAGAAACCUUCGCAGAGAGGAAACCCCCAAGACCACAGCACACGUGUCAGGACAGCUCAGCCUCUGCUCUGCGACCCUCAAGAGCUCCUUCCGGGGCAAGUGUAACACAUUUAACUUCACUUUCCAGACAGUCCAAGGUACAAUGCAAACGAGAAAGGUCCUGCGAGUAGACGGGACUCUCGGCUGGAGAGCCGCACAUGACU